UACGUAGGGUGCGAGCGUUAAUCGGAAUUACUGGGCGUAAAGCGUGCGCAGGCGGUUCGUUGUGUCGGCGGUGAAAGCCCCGGGCUCAACCCCGGAUCUGCCGUGCGGACUGGUUUGCUUGAGCACUGUAGAGGCGAGUGGAAUUCCGGGUGUAGCGGUGGAAUGCGUAGAGAUCCGGAAGAACACCGGUGGCGAAGGCGGCUCGCUGGGCAGUGGCUGACGCUGAGGCGCGACAGCGUGGGGAGCAAACAGG
rnacentral:rRNA from 1 species